rnacentral:rRNA from 1 species
UACGGAAGGCAGCAGUGGGGAAUAUUGCACAAUGGGCGCAAGCCUGAUGCAGCCAUGCCGCGUGUAUGAAAAAGGCCUUCGGGUUGUAAAGUACUUUCAGUCGUGAGGAAGGUGUUAAGGUUAAUAACCUUAGCAAUUGACGUUAGCGACAGAAGAAGCACCGGCUAACUCCGUGCCAGCAGCCGCGGUAAUACGGAGGGUGCGAGCGUUAAUCGGAAUUACUGGGCGUAAAGGGCACGCAGGCGGUUAAUUAAGUUGGAUGUGAAAUCCCCGGGCUUAACCUGGGAAUGGCAUUCAAGACUGGUUAGCUAGAGUCUUGUAGAGGGGGUAGAAUUCCAUGUGUAGCGGUGAAAUGCGUAGAGAUGUGGAGGAAUACCGGUGGCGAAGGCGGCCCUGGACAAAGACUGACGCUCAUGUGCGAAAGCGUGGGGAGCGAAACAGGGAUUAGAUACC